UGGGGAAUUUUGGACAAUGGGGGAAACCCUGAUCCAGCCAUCCCGCGUGUGCGAUGAAGGCCUUCGGGUUGUAAAGCACUUUUGGCAGGAAAGAAACGUCGCGGGUUAAUACCCCGCGAAACUGACGGUACCUGCAGAAUAAGCACCGGCUAACUACGUGCCAGCAGCCGCGGUAAUACGUAGGGUGCAAGCGUUAAUCGGAAUUACUGGGCGUAAAGCGUGCGCAGGCGGUUCGGGAAGAAAGAUGUGAAAUCCCAGAGCUUGACUUUGGAACUGCAUUUUUAACUACCGGGCUAGAGUGUGUCAGAGGGAGGUGGAAUUCCGCGUGUAGCAGUGAAAUGCGUAGAUAUGCGGAGGAACACCGAUGGCGAAGGCAGCCUCCUGGGAUAACACUGACGCUCAUGCACGAAAGCGUGGGGAGCAAACAGGAUUAGAUACCCUGGUAGUCCACGCCCUAAACGAUGUCAACUAGCUGUUGGGGCCUUCGGGCCUUGGUAGCGCAGCUAACGCGUGAAGUUGACCGCCUGGGGAGUNCGGUCGCAAGAUUAAAACUCAAAUGAA
rnacentral:rRNA from 1 species